GUGGGGAAUCUUCCGCAAUGGACGAAAGUCUGACGGAGCAACGCCGCGUGAGUGAUGAAGGUCUUCGGAUUGUAAAGCUCUGUUAAUCGGGACGAAAGAGCCUAGUGUGAAUAAUGCUAGGAAGUGACGGUACCGGAAUAGAAAGCCACGGCUAACUACGUGCCAGCAGCCGCGGUAAUACGUAGGUGGCAAGCGUUGUCCGGAAUUAUUGGGCGUAAAGCGCGCGCAGGCGGAUCUGCCAGUCUGUUUUAAAAGUUCGGGGCGUAACCCCGUGAUGGGAUGGAAACUACAGAUCUAGAGUAUCGGAGAGGAAAGUGGAAUUCCUAGUGUAGCGGUGAAAUGCGUAGAUAUUAGGAAGAACACCAGUGGCGAAGGCGACUUUCUGGACGAAAACUGACGCUGAGGCGCGAAAGCCAGGGGAGCGAACGGGAUUAGAACCCCGGUAGUCC
rnacentral:rRNA from 1 species